AAUACUGGGGAAAUAAAUAUAGAGUACCGAUAUUGAGAUAAAAAGUAAAGAAUACAAAAAUAAAGACUCCAUCCAAACUCUCAUCUUUGUUCAAAAUACACAUUACAAUAUACACUAUUCUAAAUUAUUACGGAUAAUAUCCUCUUAAUAAAUUUGAGAAUGGAAAUGGGGUAUGUAUCUUUCAUUAAAAGAAACAAUCUUAAUGACACAUUUUCAAAAUGCAUUUACUGAAGAAUGCUGCAAGUCUUUAAGUUGUCAGCUUAUUAUUUGUAACCCUACUCUGGUAAUGCGGUUAUAUUUGUAAUACAUGUAUUUUAGUUUUCUAUUGCUGUCAAAUAUAAUGCUGUUAUAUUUGUUAUACAUGUACCAUCAAGCAAAACAAUAAAUGAGAAACAUUGAAUAACUGUGUUUAUAUAUUUUUUUAAU
rnacentral:lncRNA from 1 species